CGUUAGUCUAGGUUGGCUGUUGUGGUCUUCUGGGACCUGGAGUGCAUUGCUCUAGGCAAUUCUGGCUUUCAAAGUUUCCACUGAGAAAUCAACUUAUUCUGGUCCAUCUUAGACCACACAUCCUGUGUUCUGGCCUUACCUGCAAGCUUCUGUACCAGGAUCAUCACAGAAGAAUCUUGCCAUGACCUCAGUAACCUCACCAGUAUCCACCCAUACAACAACAUUUGAUACCCACACAAGGCUUGAAGAACAGCAAUUCCGGACACUUUGAAGGACUGGAGGAAAUUCACACUCAGAGUAAGAGGACUCCAGGAUUGGCAGGGUCGUGGGAAACUUCCAUCUGAGGAGAAACGGUAUAUGCAGUUAUUAAAAUGCCUGUUAAAAGGACACCGAGUGAAAGUGAAGGAAAACAACUCGCAGAGUUUUUAACUACAGAGGUAUUAAUUAAACGGCAUCACCAUUAUGUUCAGGCAACUACGCAGGUUCAAUUAAAACUGAUGGUAUGGAAACAAGUGUUGAGAGCUUUGAGGAGAGCUCACCAAAGAGAUGAGUUUAUACCAUUAAAAAUUUCGUCUUUCUGUAGUAUAAUUUCAAUUGCUCUGGAGCCGUUGCAGAGUGAGGAGUCAUGUAAAGCUUCAUGUGAAGUAGAACAGCAAAGUAAAAGGGAAGACAUUCAGUACUGCUAACUGGAGGGCCAUCCUCCAGGCAGCACCAGGAUGUACAAAAAAAAAAAAAAAAAUCCAGAAAUGCGGCCAGGGCUGAACUUUUUCUAUCUGAGGAAUAAAUAAGGAAACCCAUGCUUUCUGAUGGUAACUUUCUCUUUUACUUCAUCUUGAAAAAAAUUCUGAAUAUCUCUCUUGCUCUCUCUCCUGCCUAGCUAUUAAUCUUUUCUCUGAAAGGAUAUCGGCACUGGUUUGGUCAGCAGAAGAGUCACGAGCCAUGGUUACCAGAGUUAGAAUGGGCUUUAUUAGAGAGAAGAGGGGAUAGGAUGGGAGAAGCCAGGUCUGGCAGAGAGGAGACAGAAAGAGAGGCAGAGAAAGAGAGAGAGAGAGAGAGAGAGAGAGAGAGAGAGAUGGGGGAACAUGGUGCCACCUUAUAAAGUCCAGAACACAUCUGCAUACACAGGCCCAUGUGCAGAGAUCACCAAGUCACGUCAGUGAGACUACAUGACCAUGUAACCAUGGGGCAUGGGUCACACAGGACUAUGACCCAGAAAUGACUAGGUGGAGAUGAGUAAGUGUUCCACUGGGCAUGCAUGACCAUGGGUCAUGGUUGGAAUUCCUAUCAUCCCAGACUCUUACCUUUUAUAAAAGAUGGCAGAUGAGUGGGUAUGGGGCGUCAUUUCUCCCAAAAACUGCUUCCAACUGACUUGGAGGGCGUCGGUUGGCUCUUGGGGGGAGUAGGGAAGGGAGCUUUCGAGGUAGACAGGCAUCUUGGGAUGGUGUGUUCUCUGUUGUCUGUUGCUCUAGAGCCGUGCAUCCCUCUUGGCUUGGCACUCUGGCCGCUUUUGUGUCUGACAGGAUGCUGGUGAAACAGGAAAAGCCUAAAGUAGGUCCGACCUGUCCAGAUGGAUUUAAGCUGGUUUCUGGAGCUUGGGAAAAAUUUGAACAUAUUAAGAAGCAGCCAUGAGAAAAUUAGUGACCAUAUGUGGUGUUUAGUGCUCUGCUUGUAUUGGUUAGUGUUAAUGGAAGAGACAGGGAGAUUGGAACAUGUUAAGCUUUAUCAGAGACAGAUUAUUUUAAGGCACCUGUUUCCUUUACUAUUUUAGCAUCCAUGAGACUCGUGACCAAUUGAUAAAAGCAUUUCACAGUAAUAGAUGGUUAUAUUAAAGUUUGUUUUUGCAGAGCCCAGAUUAAAGUCUGUUUUUAUAGAGCCCAGACACUUUUGGAUCUGGGGGUAUAAAUACAUUUUAGCUGUUACAGUUUCUUACUUGAUGAUCUCUGGACUCCAGUUCUAUGGUGGUCCUGUACCAUUAGCAAAACAGUGAGUUAGAACAGGGAACUGGGAAGAGAAAAGCUUGUGGUGCAUGAGAACUUAUUUCUUUGGAAUUAGGGACAAGGCAAAGAUCAGAGACCUGUAAGCACAGGCAGGUAGGUCUGGAGUGAGACACAUGGAAGGCAGCAAUGAAAUGAAAGCUCCUAUCUUAGCUGGAAAACUUUUUUUUACCUGGCUUCUCCCAUCCUAUCCCCUCUUCUCUCUAAUAAAGCCCAUUUUAACUCUGGUAACCAUGGCUCAUAACUCUUCCACUGACCAAGCCAGUGCCGAUAUGCUUUCACUCUCAUCAGCUCUACACAGAGGAACCCGGUCUCAAUAAAUAAAUAAAUAGAAAUAAAAAUUAAAAUAAAUUAAAAAUUGAGAAAAAAAAGCCCCACUCUCUAGUUGCUUGUGGAGUCCUGACACACCCAGAUGAUUUGUGCUCAUAUUUCACACAGAACACACACAAAGUAGUCUAGAAGAGAGACAUGUCUAGGGUUUGUGGUGGUCCAGGGCAAUUAGGGUUGUUUAGGAUUAGCAUAACAGAUGCAGGUCAACAGUAGGGACUCAGAUUGCAAAGCUGAGGUGCUUCCUGUACCCAGACAUCCCUGGGAGCAGUGGAAUGGGAAGUGCCUGUUUAACUGUGUCAGGUAGGGCACCCGGGAGGUGGGAGGGGACCUAGGAGACUUUUGGGAUGGCCCUGUGUGAGGAGGGGUGUCACACCAACUCCAGUGUCAUCCGUGUGACAUGAACAAUUAUGUCAAUAAUAGCGGACAGGAGAUACAUGUCCCACAGGACUAAGCUCCCUGGAGGUCCCUGGCAGAGUGCUUAUGCUUCCUUCUCAAAGAAGAUGUACUUCACAGAUCAUGAGCUCCCUGGGCUAUGGGUUCUGUAUAACUGCUUUUCUGAUAAUGUUCUAAUUAAUCUAUGAAGCACAGCCAAAAUUAAUGAAUGCUUGGGUUGUGAGCUAUGGAGGAAAGGGGAAGCUGAACAUGGAUCUUAAUUAAAUAUAGCAGAAUGAGCUAUUUUGUAAAGACCCCAAGCCGCUAGAUAAAGAAAGUAUAAUAGUUCAGGCACUUCUAGGGAAUGAACACUCACCCACUAGGAAUCCUUUAGGAAUCCCAACUAAAGUGAUUUAUGGUAGAAAACGUUAUCUCCUAAGAGACAGAUGGUGGGCCCCUCUGUUGAGGAAGUUCAGCAUGGGAAACUUAAAGGCUACAGCAGAACUCUUUCCCCUUACAGGCGUAAAAGUACAAGAGUCCAUAUUCCAACAGGUAAAAAGGUUUUAUAUUAAAAAAGAUAUAUGAUGAAAACUAAAAAUAAAAAAGACGUAGAGAGGGUCUGCAGCAUCCAAAUUGGCUAAAUGGGCCAUGGGAACCAAAUAAAUAAAUAAAUAAAUAAAUAAAAUGUAUUAUAAACUAAAAAACGGCUGGGAUAAGAUAAGGGAUACAGCUACAACCGCAAGAAGUCUACACAAGUCUAGGGACUGUACUCUUUAAAAAGCACAGACUGGUCUUUGGGUCAUAAAGUUCUUGUGGGUAAAGGGAUAUGUCUAACACCGAUUAAUAAUUGUAUGCUUGCUGUUUUUUAAAGAUGAUGUAAUUGAAUUAUUGCCAAGCUCUUGUUGUUCCUAGUAUGACUUGAUAGUUUUCUUUUCUGUAUAUAAACUACUGAUUUGCAGAAGUAAAAUUGCAGCAGAU